AGAUCCGUAACUCGGGAUAAGGAUGCUCUGAAGAUUGAGAUAGUCGGGCUUGAUUGGGAACAAUAACAUGGUUUAUGUGCUCGUUCUGGGUAAAUAGAGUUUCUAGCAUUUAUGUUAGUUACUUGUUCCCCGGAUAGUUUAGUUACGUAGCCAAUUGUGGAACUUUCUUGCUAAAAUUUUUAAGAAUACUAUUUGGGUUAAACCAAUUAGUUCUUAUCAAUUAUAACGAUUAUCAAUUAACAAUCAAUUCAGAACUGGCACGGACUUGGGGAAUCCGACUGUCUAAUUAAAACAAAGCAUUGUGAUGGCCCUAGCGGGUGUUGACACAAUGUGAUUUCUGCCCAGUGCUCUGAAUGUCAAAGUGAAGAAAUUCAAGUAAGCGCGGGUCAACGGCGGGAGUAACUAUGACUCUCUUAAGGUAGCCAAAUGCCUCGUCAUCUAAUUAGUGACGCGCAUGAAUGGAUUAACGAGAUUCCUACUGUCCCUAUCUACUAUCUAGCGAAACCACAGCCAAGGGAACGGGCUUGGAAUAAUUAGCGGGGAAAGAAGACCCUUUUGAGCUUGACUCUAAUCUGGCAGUGUAAGGAGACAUAAGAGGUGUAGAAUAAGUGGGAGAUAUUAGACCUCGGUUUGGUAUCGUCAAUGAAAUACCACUACUCUUAUUGUUUCCUUACUUACUUGAUUAAAUGGAACGUGUAUCAUUUCCUAGCCAUUAUACGGAUAUAUUUAUUAUAUCUUAUGGUAUUGGGUUUUGAUGCAAGCUUCUUGAUCAAAGUAUCACGAGUUUGUUAUAUAAUCGCAAACAAAUUCUUUAAUAAAACGAUGCAUUUAUGUAUUUUUGAUUUGAAAAUUUGGUAUAACUCCAAUUACUCAGGUAUGAUCCAAUUCAGGACAUUGCCAGGUAGGGAGUUUGACUGGGCGGUACAUCUCUCAAAUAAUAACGGAGGUGUCCCAAGGCCAGCUCAGUGCGGACAGAAACCACACAUAGAGCAAAAGGGCAAAUGCUGACUUGAUCUCGGUGUUCAGUACACACAGGGACAGCAAAAGCUCGGCCUAUCGAUCCUUUUGGUUUAAAGAGUUUUUAACAAGAGGUGUCAGAAAAGUUACCAUAGGGAUAACUGGCUUGUGGCGGCCAAGCGUUCAUAGCGACGUCGCUUUUUGAUCCUUCGAUGUCGGCUCUUCCUAUCAUUGUGAAGCAAAAUUCACCAAGCGUUGGAUUGUUCACCCAUGCAAGGGAACGUGAGCUGGGUUUAGACCGUCGUGAGACAGGUUAGUUUUACCCUACUAAUGACAAAACGUUGUUGCGACAGCAUUCCUGCGUAGUACGAGAGGAACCGCAGGUACGGACCAAUGGCACAAUACUUGUUCGAGCGAACAGUGGUAUGACGCUACGUCCGUUGGAUUAUGCCUGAACGCCUCUAAGGUCGUAUCCGUGCUGGACUGCAAUGAUAAAUAAGGGGCAAUUUGCAUUGU
rnacentral:rRNA from 1 species